CAAUAGCGUAUAUUAAAGUUGUUGCAGUUAAAAAGCUCGUAGUUGGACCUUGGACCUGGACAGGCGGUCCGCCUCACGGCGAGUACUGUCUUGCUGGGUCUUUCCUCUUGGUGAUCUGUUGUUUCGGCAGCAGGGAACCAGGACCUUUACUUUGAAAAAAUUGGAGUGUUCAAAGCAGGCUCGACGCCGGAAUAUAUUAGCAUGGAAUAAUAAAAUAGGACGUGCGGUUCUAUUUUGUUGGUUUUUGGAAUCGCCGUAAUGAUUAAUAGGGACAGUCGGGGGCAUUAGUACUCACAUGCUAGAGGUGAAAUUCUUGGAUUUUGUGAAGACUAACUUCUGCGAAAGCAUUUGCCAAGGAUGUUUUCAUUA
rnacentral:rRNA from 1 species